UCUCACUCGGGCUCUAGGGCAGCCACGGCGCGCGCAUCUGGGGGUGUCCAGGCACCGGGGCCCGGCAGGCCUGCGCACGGGUGCGCAACGGCGCUCCACGAACUGGGCUGCGCUUCUGAUGUGGUCCCUGCUGUCACCACCGCCAUAGGCCCCUUCGGGGCUCCGCCCGUUGCCUCCUCCCUAUUGGGGACCUAAACCCUCUACUCCCACAACCGGCAGUUGCGUGUCCUGGCUCCCAACCACACGGUUAGUCGCGGGAAUUGGGUAUCCAGAGGUGGACACAGACCCAGGCCCAGAACCUUGGACCACUGCCCGCUCCUGCUCCGGAGUGGCAAGUGGCCCUUUCGGCCUCCGCUGGAAGCUUGCUUUGGGUCGGGAGCUGAUCAGCGCUUUACCCGCCUUGUUCCACGAUAAGACCAACGUGGCCCCAGGAGAGGCAGAGGUGGGCUACGCAGAGGCCAAGCCACCAGCCUCCUUCCUCUCGGAGGUCUAGCCAGGAGGGCACACCCCCCAGCACAAGGGGUGCCCCAGGAACCAGAGGGGCUAUGGCCCCCUCUGCGUGGCGAAGAGAGGCGGGAAUGAGAGGCUCCAGAGGAAACCGAGUCUUUGAAGAAGCUUGCCCACCCCAGUUUUCCCCCAAGACCUCCCAGUGACUAUCUUCUAAGAGGCCCAGCGGAGGAGUGCACUUAUGACCGACUCUGGGACCUUCCUUGUUCGUUGCCUGGAGCUCAGCGUCCUUAGCGGGCCCGGGGCAGUGGUGUCUGUGUGCGUGAGUGUCACGGUGCCGACCUCUCCCGACCGCCAGAAGCGAGGCCCCGGCCGUCGGACCCAGUGCUCAGGGGCCACUCCCCGCCCGGCGUCCCGGCGAGAGGACCGCUCAAGUACGCAAGCAACAGAGAGACACCCAGACGCCGUCCUGAGGGCGGGCGGGCCUGAAGGCGCUUCGGCCACCUCGGCCAGACUCGAGAAAAUAUUUGCGAUGCUUUUUUGGAGAUGACAAAGGCACACAGAGGAUGACACCUCAGCCCCUGCAGUGCAGGGAGCAGGAGGUGACCGCGCUGAUAACACGGUGGAGUCUUCCUCAGCCUGGAUCUCCGAGUGACCACAUGGGGCACGCAGUGUGAGCAAGAAAUAAACCGAGUGUGCUAACCCACCUGGAUUGUGUUUGUUGCUGUUGUGUAACUUAGCCUAUGCUGAUGAAUCCCUUUCAAAUGGGGAGUUUAACCCAGCGGACACAUUGUUAAGUGUUGUGGACACAGAUUUUGAGCACUUAAAAUAACUCACAUUCCCCUCCCUUUUCCCCCCUCUCUCCUUACCCCUCCCUCCCUCUGGGGUGGCAGCUAGCCUCUCUACCCUCUUUGUGGAAAUUAGGAAAAGGUUUGUCAUCCAAGCAGAGGCAGUUUGGGGCUGCUCAGCUUGAUGAGCAGUGAGCGGAGAGUGAGCUAAAUUUCAGCCUGACGCUCUGCCUUGGCUGGGCACUUUUGAGCAGUGCACAACCUACACAGCAGUCCAGAGUGACCCAGCCAUUUAUCCAUCCCUAAACUGGGUAUAGAGUGAGUACCAGGCCUUGAGUUGGGCUCUGCAGGUUCAGAGAGAAUAGAAUGCUCUGUGUGCCUCAAGGAACUCACUCUGGUGGGAGCAGACAGGAUGCAGAAAUGCCCUCAUUCUAGCCAUAUCUAAUUUUAGAGCAUUUUAUUUCUUUCUUUUUUUUUUUUGAGACUGAGUAUCGCUCGCUCUGUCACCCAGGCUGGAAUGUAGUGUUGCAAUCUAGGCUUGCUGCAACCUCCACCUCCCAGGCUCAAGUGAUUCUCCUGCCUCAGCCUCCUAAGUAGCUGGAAUUACAGGCAUCUGCUGGCAGCCCGGCUAAUAUUUUGUCUGUA
rnacentral:lncRNA from 1 species